rnacentral:rRNA from 1 species
UAGAGAUAGGGGUUCCUAGCGAGCCCAACCUCCCACCCGUGUUUACUGUACCUUAGUUGCUUCGGCGGGCCCGCCAUUCAUGGCCGCCGGGGGCUCUCAGCCCCGGGCCCGCGCCCGCCGGAGACACCACGAACUCUGUCUGAUCUAGUGAAGUCUGAGUUGAUUGUAUCGCAAUCAGUUAAAACUUUCAACAAUGGAUCUCUUGGUUCCGGCAUCGAUGAAGAACGCAGCGAAAUGCGAUAACUAGUGUGAAUUGCAGAAUUCCGUGAAUCAUCGAGUCUUUGAACGCACAUUGCGCCCCCUGGUAUUCCGGGGGGCAUGCCUGUCCGAGCGUCAUUGCUGCCCAUCAAGCACGGCUUGUGUGUUGGGUCGUCGUCCCCUCUCCGGGGGGGACGGGCCCCAAAGGCAGCGGCGGCACCGCGUCCGAUCCUCGAGCGUAUGGGGCUUUGUCACCCGCUCUGUAGGCCCGGCCGGCGCUUGCCGAACGCAAAUCAAUCUUUUCCAGGUUGACCUCGGAUCAGUAGGAACACGCUUUGCAGUCGUAUUUAAUAGGAAAUA